UACGUAGGUGGCAAGCGUUAUCCGGAAUUAUUGGGCGUAAAGCGCGCGCAGGUGGUUUCUUAAGUCUGAUGUGAAAGCCCACGGCUCAACCGUGGAGGGUCAUUGGAAACUGGGAGACUUGAGUGCAGAAGAGGAAAGUGGAAUUCCAUGUGUAGCGGUGAAAUGCGUAGAUAUCUGGAGGAACACCGGUGGCGAAGGCGGCAUCCUGGACCGGCACUGACACUGAGG
rnacentral:rRNA from 1 species